rnacentral:rRNA from 1 species
GAAAAAUAUAGAAAGAAACUAUUAGGGAAUCAUUGCAAUAUAUCAAAGAGAGAAAUUUUAAUUUGUAUAAACAGUAUAAAACUGGUUUAAAAACAUGAACUCUAAGAGAAAUUCAGUAAUAAACGAAGUAAAUUGAAAUAUCUUAAUAACUUUAGGAAAAGAAAUCAAAAGAGAUUCUAUGAUUAGUGAGAAUGAAAAUAGAGAAGCCUUCCAAUACAUAUGGGAUGGUUUAGGUACAAUCGGGUAAUAUAAAAACAUUAAAUAUUAUUAAAAAUUUUUAGGAAAAUUUUUAAAGUUAAUAUAUAAUAUUAAGUAAAUAAAAGUUUUAUAAAUAUAAAAACCUAUGUAAACUAAAACCAUAGUAUGGUACAAAUAAAAAUUAACAAGUAAAAUGGGUUAAGACUUGUUUGAAUAAGUAAAGGGGAACCUUCCUCUAAGGCUAAAUAUGAUAUAUUGAGCGAUAGCGUAGAGUACCGUGAGGGAAUUGAAAAAUUAGUAGUUUUAUAAGCAGCUUGAGAAGAAAAUUUAAAUAACAUUAAAAGCGUACCUUUUGCAUAAUGGGUCAGCAAGUUAAUAUUAGAUGCGAGCAAUAACUGCCUAGAUAAAUCGGUCAAUACAAUAGUGAUAAGUAUCUAAAAUUAGACCCGAAACCUAGUGAUCUUACCAUGAUCAGAGUCACAAAAGCUCGAACGGGUUAUUGUUGCAUAAAUAUCCGAUGAAUUGUGGUAAGCUUGGUGAAAGAUAAAACUGACUAGGGAUAGCUGGUUUUCCGCGAAACGUAUCUAAGUACGUAAUUUUAACUAACAUCAUGCAGGUACAGAACUUGAUCUUACAUGGCUAGUCGAGGAGAUAUUUUUCAAUUAUAUCGGGGAAUCGUGAAGAUUUUAUCGUUAAGUAAUAGGUCUCGGAAUGGCAGUGAUGAAUGUAAAAAUAACAGACAUAGUAUGCUAAGGUUGUAUGUCAAAAGGGAAACAGCCCAGAACAAGUGUAAAUAUAAGGUUCCAAAAUUAUUGUUAAGUGAAAUAAAGAGAGUUUUUAUCUUAUUCGAUCAGGUGAUGGGCUUAGUGGCGGCCAUUUUUUAAAGACCUCGUAAUAGAGCACUGAUUCAACACCGGAAGACCUCCGGUGGAUAGAGACAUCUAAAAUUUAUCGGAUCUAAACAAUAUACCGACACCUUGUCCAUAAUUACAGUUGGUAUUCAAAUUAGAGAUGGUCUAUCUAAUUUAAUUAUGGGGUAGCGGAACGUUGGGUGAUAAUAUUCAAUUAUUCUUUUUAAGAAUAAAAAAAAGAUUAACCCAAGUGAGAAUGCUGACAUGAGUAACGAAAAAGGAUAAAAAAAAUUUUUUUUACCUCGCCUUAAGCUUAUGGUAUUAUAUAAGUAACGGCCUCUAAGUUAGUUGACCUAAAGGUCUAAACGAUGAGAAAAAUCUUGUGAUUAUUGUAACAACCUUAUAUGGGUGUAUAAGUGUUCUGGAAAAGCAAUAAACAACGUAAAGCUAUUAUUAACUUUACGAUAAUAAAACCGUACCUAAGUACCAAGAGGUAAGCUAGUAGAGAAUACGAAGGCGCUUGAGUGAACAAUCUUUAAGGAACUCGGCAAACUAACUACCGUAACUUAGGGAGAAGGAGUGCCGAUCCCCCGUUUAAUAUCGGUUUGGAUAAGGAAGCAUAGAAUCGUGUUGUCCGACUGUUUAAUUAAAACAAAGCACGCUGCAUUAAGAUGAAAGUCUAAGUAUAGAGUGUGAUGUCUGCCCGAUGCCGGCUGGUUAACGGAGUUUCUGGGCUGCUUUUAUUAUAAAUGUCGGUCUGGUUUUGAAGGAUACCCCGGUUAAUGGCGGCCUUAUCUAUGAGGGUCCUAAGGUAGCAAAAUACCUUGGCCACUAAAUAUGGUCUCGCAUGAAUGAUGUAACGAUACAACAGCUGUCUCGAAGAUUGGCUCAGUGAAAUUGGAAUUGCAGUAUUUAUUUG